CCCAGUGCAGAGCAUGUAGAAGAUACCCAGUAAAGAUUUCCUGCUUGGUGGAGUGAAAAAAAACACAGCCUUCACCUCUCAUUGCUUGACCGCUGGAAGAGCAUGGAGAGAUGAGACUUCAGUGAGCUUCUAUUCCAAGACUUUGGGGAAAAAGUUCAGAUGGGUGACACAGAGACAGAGACGAGGACUCAUGGCUCCAAUCUAACCAUGGCACACGCUGCGUUCUCCUUCUGGAUUGAUGCCUCUUCCUCUUGGUUUUGGAAAACAGCAUUUAUACAGUACUUGAGACCACAUUCUUCUCCAUGUGUUGGCAGAGAAGCCUGGCCCAUAGAAAAAUCUCCAGCUUGCUUGCAGACCAAAAUCCAAAUGGAUUGUGGGGCUUUUUGUUGUUGUUGUUGUUUUGGGGGGGUGCACUUGCGGCAUAUGUAG
rnacentral:lncRNA from 1 species